UACGUAGGGUGCAAGCGUUAAUCGGAAUUACUGGGCGUAAAGCGUGCGCAGGCGGUUUUGUAAGUCUGACGUGAAAUCCCCGGGCUCAACCUGGGAAUUGCGUUGGAGACUGCAAGGCUAGAAUCUGGCAGAGGGGGGUAGAAUUCCACGUGCAGCAGUGAAAUGCGUAGAGAUGUGGAGGAACACCGAUGGCGAAGGCAGCCCCCUGGGUCAAGAUUGACGCUCAUGCACGAAAGCGUGGGGAGCAAACAGG
rnacentral:rRNA from 1 species